CAUUCUCAUCCUCGCACAUGCAACACUCACUUUCUAUAGUUUAAAAAAUGAUUUUUCACACGAAAUGCACGUGAAACCGCGGAGGUAACGUACAUCCAUAAGCAAACGUUUAAUCGAAACCAAAACUUUACGCAGGACUAAACUCGAUUUAAACGUUUUGAAUGAUUAACCACAAGCCACAAUAUGCAAGCCUAAAAUAUUUUCGGCAAAUGUGUGAUUUACGAAGUAGAAAUACAACUAACGAAAUGUCCCUGAACUUCCCUAAAAGUAAGCAGUCGGAAAAGCUUAUUUUUAGCAUACUGCAAAGGCUGCAGGGAGGACGAACGUGCUUAACGUCGGUAUCAAACCACGAUUUUAAUUUUUUGAUUCAUACUGUUUCUGUAGUUGGGUCAUAUCAGAAAUUGCUUCGAAAUUAAUUUCGGGUGUACAACAGAAUAUUUUAUUACAAACUUGUAUUCGAAACGAUGGGCUCUAAAAGCGUAUUUCAGACGGUUUUCCACGCGCAACAGAAGCCAUGCCAUUGCCAGGAAAAAGACUUAGUGGUUCUCAGAUCGGAAAAGAAAACUACAGCAAGAAAAAGAAGCAUCAGAACUGCAAAAUCCAAAGCAACAUCAGGGCAUUCUAUACUUAUGAUGUCUGAUGACCCAGGUCUUGAAGUAUCUUCAGACAGGGAACUGUUCAGUGAGAAUCUGUCUGGUGAUCUUCGGAAUGCAGAAGAGUUGCGAAAGUACUGUCGUCUUUCCUGGAUACUAGCUGGACUACUUGGUUGAUACUGGACAACAGGAGCAUUUUCCUCAAUGGCCAUGCCAUUGCCAGGAAAAAGACUUAGUGGUUCUCAGAUCGGAAAAGAAAACUACGGCAAUAAAAAGAAGCAUCAGAGCUGCAAAGUGAUAAUGAAAUCAUAUUUAUUAAAAAAUCGCAAUAGAAAAAUCGCAGAGGAUAAUAAGAAUUAUGAAGGGAUAAAAUCGGAGUCAGAAUCAGAUUCAGGAGAAGUUUGCUUGGUAUACGUCCAGGGAUCUGGAACGGAUUAAUGACGUAUACUGAGGUACCAGUCUAAUUUGAAUAGUCCAUUCUGAGAGUAUCCACAUUUAUCGCACAUGUGUUGUUGCAGUAAUGGCUUAAGUUACAAUAAACAUUUCAUAAAUCUAAUCUCUACAAUGCCACGUAACUAGUAAGCAAUUUUAUUUGGAAUUUUGCCUGUCUUCUUCAAUAAGACAUUUAAAAGAAAUUGGAAACGCCCUAAAAAGUCUCUAAGUUUUUUUUUUUUUUUUUUUUUUUUUAAUUAUUUUCCGAUGGGGGCCCUUGCCUCUAAUGGCUCCUAACAUCAGAAGUGGUGCCCAUUUUAUUGUGGAGGCACCUAAAAGGCGGCCAUUGUUGCCUCUUAUGAAGGGACAGACAAUUUUACAUCCAUUCUUUCUACGGGAUUCGAACCUGGGCCCUUCGGUAUAGCAGUUAGGCUCCACUAACCGCUAUACCGGGGCUGCUCUGUACGUAAGUAAAUAAUAGUAAUACAUUAGAUCUCUUUCGAAACAAAUUAUUUAAAAAAUAAGUUCCUUAUAAGCAGUAACUGGAAUAAAUAAGUUAUGUAAAAUUUGAGAAAAAUAAUUUAGUUUUCUUUUCGUAAAUGUUUUUGGUUGCACUGGUAGAAGACAGUUAUUUAUUUAAUGCUUAAAUCUAUAAAUUUCUAUAUGUUCUAAAGUUCCCUUGGUAGAAUAAUCUUUCAAAACCCGAGAUUAAGUGAUUUUUCUCCUUUAGACUUAUUUUGUAAGAGAAAAUAAUAUAGCAAAUGAACGGUAGCAUCAGAUAUAUACCGUGAAAUUAAUCAAUUAAAUUCAAGUUGCGGAUGUAUUUCAUACAAUUUUGUCCGAAAAGAAAUAUUUAAAAGACAGUCUUUUCUACUUGAAUACAUCAUUAAUUCUCUCAUUUUUAAGAGUUCUCGAUUUUCUUAAGCAUUUUUUUUCCCAGAUUCGUUUCGAUAUUUCAAGCUCGAAGUUGAACAAUUAGAGCCAUUAAUAUGAAAGCAAUUCUUGAAAUAAAUGAUUUCCUUUGGAAAGACUUCAAAAGAGCUUUUGGAAAUAAAUGAAUCUUCUGUUCGUUGAAUCAUUACGUUGUUACUUCGUGUUUACGUUGGCAUUAGAGUAUAUUUGUACAUAAUGAGGACGAAGUCGAAUAGGAGAAUGAUUAGAUGCCAAACCAAAAGUAUAACCGCAGAAGCUAUUUUGCGAUCUUGUUCCUUUUCUAAGAAUUUUUCUACCGCAUUGACACAACGAUUAUAUCAUUAAACACUUAAGUCUCGUUCUUGAUUUAACACUUAGGAAUUAAGUGGAGACUUGAUGGCUGGCUGAAUAAAGUAUUUUGAACUGCGUUUUAUAUAUACGUAACUUAUAAGCGACUCUCUGAGAGCACUUCAUAAAAGCCGCACUUUAAGUAGGCAUAGUUUUUGUCAAACAGAAUAACAGAAAAAGAAAAAAACUGUGGAAUACCAGUUUUUAUUCAUAUGUGGAAAGGUAUUUAUACCACGUAAAUAAUGGACCAAGCAAAAUGAUGCUUUCAAAUAUCUGUAUUCAAUAAUUAAAUAUGUUACAUUGGUUCAAUAAAUAUCAUGCAGUGAAA
rnacentral:lncRNA from 1 species